rnacentral:rRNA from 1 species
AGUGAACGCUGGCGGCGUGCUUAACACAUGCAAGUCGAACGAGAACGGGUUAUAGCUUGCUAUAAUUGUCAGCUAAGUGGCGCACGGGUGAGUAAUGUAUAGGUAAUAUGCCUCUUACUAAGGGCUAACAAAUGGAAACGUUUGCUAAUACCUUAUACUCCUUAUUAACAUAAGUUAAUAAGGGAAAGAUUUAUUGGUAAGAGAUUAGCCUGUAUUGUAUCAGUUAGUUGGUGGGGUAAUGGCUUACCAAGACUAUGACACAUAACUGGUUUGAGGGGAUGAGCAGUCACGCUGGAACUGAGACACGGUCCAGAGUCCUACGGGAGGCAGCAGUGGGAAAUAUUGCACAAUGGACGAAAGGCUGAUGCAGCAACGCCGCGUGGAGGAUGACACAUUUCGGUGCGUAAACUCCUUUUAUAUGAGAAGAUAAUGACGGUAUUAUAUGAAUAAGCACCGGCUAACUCCGUGCCAGCCGCCGCUGUAA